rnacentral:rRNA from 1 species
UGACCUCGGAUCAGGUAGGAAUACCCGCUGAACUUAAGCAUAUCAAUAGGCCGGAGGAGAAUUUUUUUUGGAACGCGUCUUGCGACAACAAAACCCUUUGUCAACUUAUAGUGUGAGUGCCUCAGAGCAGGGGUCUUUGUACUAACGUCCCGUAUACAUCGUUUAAGCGCGGACUACCACGCUAUCUUUUCCUGUGUGAACCCCUCGCUUGCACAUCACACAUCAGUCUAUGACUUUGCCACCGGCGUAUCUCCUGGGGUACUGCGUUCGAUCUAAAAAACACGUGCACACUGCACUAAGUAUCGAUCAUCUGCUACAGAUUCGGGGAAGCAGCUAACAUUGCAGAGCGAUGCCCCUCCGCGGUACUCUGCCAGCGUGCUGUAGACGCUGCAUGUCACUUCCCUUGUGAGUCAUUAGGCUACGCUCCUCCGGUGCGGCGGCCUGA